rnacentral:rRNA from 1 species
GACUCAUGGCAACAUAUAUCUCGGCUCUCGCAUCGAUGAAGAACGUAGCGAAAUGCGAUACUUGGUGUGAAUUGCAGGAUCCCGUGAACCACCGAGUCUUUGAAAGUUGCACGGGGAGCCUUUUGGCUGAGGGCACGUCUGCUUGGGCAUCA